CCGUGUCUUAAGCCCGCCCCCUCCACGCGGGCCGGAGCGUUCCCGUGCGCCGGGUGCCCGGGGGCCUCGCGGUCAGGGCCUCCACACAGUGCCCUGGCGCGGACAGGGGGGCUGUAGUCCGCCUGUGGGGGCGGAAGCUCGGUACUUGGGAGCCGCGUCCACACCGGCCGACGCCAGGAUACGGGAGGCGCCGCGCACACAUCAGGGCCGGAGCCAGGGCCUGCCACCUCGAGGCCAAGUAGCAUGGGGUCGCGGAGGUUCAGCAGGUCCCGAAGAGCGAGGAGCACGGGCGCGCACUGAACACUCUCCUCCAGGCCCUGAGCACCGCGGAGUAGGUCUCGAGUCCCCCUUCGGCCCCCGCCCAACCACUGAGACUCCCGCCCAGCUGCUCCCCUAACGGACUCUCACCAAGCCGAGGAAGAGCUCCCGAAGCUGGGCCGCGUCGUGCUGCAGGCGCUCGGCCGCCCGGGUCCUCUCGUCCGCGCCUCGGCACACCAGGCGGCCCUGCAUCAGCGCGCGCAGGUACUGCAGUACCACCGUACGUUCCGCCUCGGCCAGGAGCAGCUGCGGAGAGCGCAGUGGGUCCAGCAUGCCUUUUCCGUGGGCGCUUCCCUACUCCACAGUCUUCCCCUUCAACGCACCUGGACCGCAGGAUUCCGCACGCGCCUGAAAUCCUGGCAGAAGCGCUCCGUCCUCUUGCACACGUCGUCCAGCAGCUCUGGGCUCGAAAGCCACCGGCGUGAGGGCAGAGCCGUGAACAGGGGCUGCGGGAUGGGGGAGCAGAAACAGGGCUGGAGGAACAACCAGACCUAGCAUUCCUCCAGACCUAGCAUUCAUACACACGUGUAUGCUGAAUCUCUUCCUCCCACCCCCAUCCCCACCUGAAGCCUUACCUGGAGCUCGGCCAGCAGCGCCUCCAACACCAGGCGGCAGACCCUUCUCUGCAACUCGUCCAGCGCUGCCUCCACCGGAGCCAAAGCUCCUGAAGCCACCCCGUCGGGCUGCAGGACUGACACUGAGGAGCUGGACAGACCGAAAGUUAAGGCUUCAGGACCAAGGCCAAGGCCCUCGCGGCCCUCUGUUGUGUAGCCACUCUGACGCCACCUGGUGGUGCAAGUGUGUGGCGAGAUGGGGCAAGGGGGGGCUCUCAACCCUUCUGAAGAUCUGGGGCUUGGAUUAAGGACGGGAGUGGUGGGCUCAGACAGCUAGCAGGAACCCAACCAGACCUGCUUCAAAUUCAAAAUGUGACUUCGAGCAAGUCGUAUCUUUUGUUCUCCGUUUGGGUAAAGAAAGAGUUUAAUCUCAAUCAGGAGGGAAUAAAACUCAUCAUUAGCUUG